CAUUGUAAGGGGUAAAGAUUUUCAUACAAAGUCAAGAGAUGAUGCUCAAGAGGUUCAAAAUAGUGGCAUACGUAUCGUCGCAGAAACUAUGCACUUUGGAAGUGCAAAAGAUAGAAACCCUGUUUUAGGUACUAUGACGUAUUAUGGGGUCAUUGAAGAAAUAUGGGAGCUCAACUAUUUUGCGUUCCGAAUUCCACUUUUUAAAUGUGAUACGAUGAUUCACAUGCCCAGAUUCUUGUUUCAGAAAUCCUGCAAGAGGACGCUGAAAUCCCAAUCCCAAUUGAAGGGUGCAGAUAUGUUAGGGACGUAUCACAGAUGUUCCUUCCUUGGCCUAAACAUUUAAUUCUAACAACCGAGGGUCCACUCGCUCAACCGCCUUCAAGACGUGAUGCGUCGAAGGGGAAAGCUCCGAUGCUUUCUCCACAAGGCGGUGGUGCACGGGAAGAUGAAUUGUUCUCGGAAGAAAAGAUGGCCUUAAUCCCUAAAUCGCUAAAAUGGAUGGUUCGUGAAUUCCUGAGCCUCAAAGAUAAACGUGAUAUAAUCACAAUUCUUGUACCCCGAGGAUUCAUAGCACCGUGUACCCAGAUCACGUUAUUUGGAGAGGCUUUGCAGCAGGUUGCUACGUGUGACUUCAUCGACAACCAGGGAAUGCUGUUUGGAAUGAUGUAUACUCUUCUUUAAUCUAAUUAACCUUAUAUAUCAAAUUCUAGUCAAAUUAUUAUAAGACACUAACACUUUUUUUGGUAGGCACAUCUGGGAGAGCAUCAACGGUAUGAGAAAAAUUUUCAAGUUUUACGACCGAGAGCUUCUCGUAGUGCAUGGGAACACCGAUGAACAAAAGAGUUAGUCUUUUGACGAUGCGGCAAGACGAUUGGAUGAUUGGUUAUCAUUAAUGAAUAACAACCACCAAAUGUUCUUUAUUCCUUGGAAUAUCAGGUAAACUCUAUUUAAUUCUUUAGUGCUAAUUGUUCAUUUCUAAUAUUAUGACUUCAAAUUAUUUUUAUACUAUCUUACUUAUAUUCCAAUAUAAUUUUCUAGUGCGCAUUGGACGCUAGUGGUGGUUACGCCAAGGAAAAUUAUCUGUUUAAACCCUGUACGUGGCCGCCCAAUUCUCGAAGAAAUUACUCAAAUGAUCGGAAGGUAAUAAUUUAAUAACUUCUUAUGUAACAAAUUUAAAUUAACUAACGAAUUGAAAUGCUAAUAUAAUUUUUCAAAACAGUGCAUUCAGAUAUAUAGGGGACGCACAUGAGUAUCUUGGCCCGUGGCUAGGAAUUUCACAAGAAAACUGUCCAAGACAACCUAAAAGCCAAGAAUGUGGUUUUUAUGUUUUGAAAUAUAUCACUGACAUCGUCGCACGUGCAAAACCCAGCCGUUACAUACAAGAUCAAAAAGCUGCAAGUUUUAAUUAUUGAUUAUAGUAUUUAUUAUAAUAACAAAUAUAUAAUAUACAUAAUAUAUAAACUAAUAUAAAUUUUUAAUUUUUUUAACAGUUUGGGGGUAAGAAGCAAUACGAUCCAAAAACUGAUUUGUUACCAUUACAGCGAAAGUGGAUAGAACAAUUGAUGGCGCUGAUUCACGUUGACGAUUGAGGUUGAAAGGCCCAAGAAUUUUUCUUCAUUAUGUAAUUUUUAUAGAUUAACUUGUAGUUAGAUUUAUUAACUUAUUAAUAUUUUUGACUAAUUUUACAUUAGUGUUUGUGUAAUAUUUAAUUACUUUUAUGAAAUGAAAUUAUGUAUUUUAGCCAA